rnacentral:lncRNA from 1 species
AUUGGAUGGGUUCAUUCCUCUGGAAUGAAAUCUUACUGCCUCUUCCUCCUCUCGCCCUUCAUCCUCCCCCUCACCUCACCCUUUGUAUUCCCCUCCUUCCACCAGUGCCUGUGCUGCAUGUGUGACCCAUGCAAUGAGCCAAUUCAAUUCUCCACUCCAGCAGAAAAUUGUCUGAGUUUUUUUGGGUUAUUUUUCUGCUGAGUUGGUGAGCCAUGUCAGUUCAGAGACGUUUCUGGACCAACAUUAGAGGGAAUGGUGAGACUGUGAGGCUGAGGACAGCAAGGGAGGGGGAACUGGAGGAGGCAGCCUCACCACUUCUGCAGAGGGCAUCCUGGAAAACAGAGAAGGAGCAGCAAUAUAAAUCAAGAGGGGCUGCAGGAGAAUACUGGAAACAGAGGAUGGGAUCCUCCACUCGUACCAUGCAGUAAUUAGAGCUACCCCUACUUGUUCUUUUGAGAUAAAACACAUUUUUUAAGAUGCUUAAACUUUAAUUACCUUUCUACUCAACUUACAGGCUUGUAGAAAAGCCAACCCUGUUUUGUGUUUUCUUUAAAUUAUCCAUAAGUUCAAUAAGAUGAGACCUGGCUUAAUAAAAAUAAGGAAAGGUUUCUCCA